rnacentral:lncRNA from 1 species
CCGGCGCCAGCUGGCCCGCUGCACGUCGUGACUCAUCUCGGCAUCCUGAAGCUGCUUCUGGAGGUCAGAGACCUUCUGCGACCACCUCUGUUCAUCAUCAACCCGGGCCAAGAGCCGGGAUGAGUUUCCUUCCAGAUGGCCGAUCUUCCUCUUCGCGGCUGAUAGUUCCACCUUAAGGGCGCUGAUCCUGGCUUCUUGAGCCCAAAUUUGGUCACUGGUGCUCUUCUUGCAUUCCUCGAGCUCCUUUGUGAAGUUCGCCUUCCUCCGGCUGUAAUCCAUGAUUGCCUUCACCUGGAGACUCCGAA